UGAGUGAAUGUGGUUGUAAUGUAAGUGAGUGAGUGAAUGUGGCUGUAAUGUAAGUGUGUAGUGAGUGAGUGAGUGAGUGAAUGUGGUUGUAAUGUAAGUGAGUGAGUGAAUGUUUGAAUGUGGUUGUAAUGUAAGUGAGUGAGUGAAUGUGGCUGUAAUGUAAGUGUGUAUUGAGUGAGUGAAUGUGGUUGUAAUGUGAGUGAGUGAGUGAAUGUAGUUGUAAUGUAAGUGAGUGAGUGAAUGUUGUUGCAAUGUAAGUGAUUGAGUGAGUGAGUGAAUGAGUGAAUGUGGUUGUAAUGUAAGUGUGUAUUGAGUGACUGAGUGAAUGAAUGUAGUUGUAAUGUAAGUGUGUAGUGAGUGAGUGAGUGAAUGAAUGUAGUUGUAAUGUAAGUGUGUAGUGAUUGAAUGUGUGAAUGUGGUUGUAAUGUAAGUGAGUGAGUGAAUGUGGUUGUAAUUAGUAAUGUAAGUGUGUAGCAGGUCUGACCUGACUCUCAGCUUGAUGAUGAUCAGCAGGAAAAUCACGAAAGUAAGGGGAAAGAGCGCCCCCCCACAGGACUAGCAUGGCCACUCCAACUGAAUCACCUGCUUAAAAUCACAAGUAAAGACAAGCCACUUCAAUUCACAUCCAUCCAGCUC
ensembl:lncRNA